rnacentral:misc_RNA from 1 species
AAGUCGUAACAAGGUCUCCGUUGGUGAACCAGCGGAGGGAUCAGUCCAAAACGUAUUAAAACGUUAACACCGUUUUAAAAACCCCACCGUGCUCUUUGUUGAUUUGCCAUUUUUAGAGGUUUGGGCAGUGAUAAUGUCAUGUUAUCAAAAUUCUAAACCUCUACUUUGUAUUAACCUAUUAACCCUUUUUUUUACUGUUACAACUGAUUUGGGUGCCAACUGAACAAUUACAUUGUUCGGGCGGUACCAAGUAUAAAAUAAAUUGAUACAACUCAUGCCGGCGGAUACCUUGGUUCUC